rnacentral:rRNA from 1 species
UCUAUUUUCAAGAAAAUGUGGAAAAGCAAGUGCAUGCCAAAACUGAAGGUGUUUAUUUGGCUGCUGUUGGUUGACCGACUCAAUACCCACGACAUGUUGGAUAGAAGACACUGGCACAUGGAUUCGGGAUUAAAUUGUGCUUUGUGUGCAAGCAACAGCAGAGACCAGAGAUCACCUUUUCUUCAACUGUACAUUUGCUCGCUGUUGCUGGAGGCAGGUUGGUAUACACUGGACCCAAAAUCAUGA